AUUGGUUUGGAAGUACAGACCUAUUUAUGUUAGUCCAGUUUUUAGUAGUUCACCGUUUAGCGCUAUCCUUGAUACCUCUUCGUUGCGAAUUCCUUCAAAUAGUACCCAUAAGUAAAAAUCCGAAAUCAAACCGCAAUUAGCCUUAUGGCAUAACUAAAUUUAUUAAAGGAAAUUCUAUGUCUAAUACAAUGACUGGUACAGUUAAAUGGUUUAACGACGAUAAAGGCUUUGGCUUUAUCACACCUAAAGAUGGUAGCAAAGAUGUAUUUGUUCACUUUUCAGCAAUUCAAAGCGAUAGCUUUAAAUCACUGAAAGAAGGCCAAGAAGUAUCAUUCUCUAUUGAAAAUGGUGCAAAAGGUCCAGCAGCUGCUAAUGUUAUCGGUCUGUAAUAAUUAUGGAUUAUUGCGUCUAAGACUUAAAGACACUUAUAUAAGUGUAUCUUACUA
rfam:Proteus mirabilis strain HI4320, complete genome